AGCGAACGUUUGCGGCGGGCCUAACACAUGCAAGUCGAACGCACUAGCAAUAGUGAGUGGCGCACGGGUGCGUAACACGUGGGUAAUCAACCCUUCAGCCUGGGAUAACGACUCGAAAGGGUCGCUAAUACCGGAUACGGCGCGAGAGGCUUCGGCUUCUCACGAGAAAGCCACGCAAGGGGCACUGAAGGACGAGCCUGCGGCCCAUCAGCUAGUUGGUGAGGUAAGAGCUCACCAAGGCUAAGACGGGUAGCUGGUCUGAGAGGAUGAUCAGCCACACUGGAACUGAGACACGGUCCAGACUCCUACGGGAGGCAGCAGUGGGGAAUAUUGCGCAAUGGGCGAAAGCCUGACGCAGCCACGCCGCGUGAGUGAUGAAGGCCCUCGGGUCGUAAAGCUCUGUGGAGAGGGACGAAGAAAGCCUGUGAAGAGCAGGCCUUGACGGUAUCUCCUUAGCAAGCACCGGCUAACUCCGUG
rnacentral:rRNA from 1 species